GGAUGUAGCUCAAUGGGGGCACCUGCCUGGCAAGCAUGAGGCUCUGAGUUCGAUUCCCAGUACCA
rnacentral:tRNA from 1 species